UGGGGAAUCUUGGACAAUGGGGGAAACCCUGAUCCAGCAAUGCCGCGUGUGUGAAGAAGGCCUUCGGGUUGUAAAGCACUUUCAGUGGGGAAGAAAUUCUCAAGACUAAUACUCUUGAGCGUUGACGUUACCUACAGAAGAAGCACUGGCUAACUCUGUGCCAGCAGCCGCGGUAAUACAGAGAGUGCAAGCGUUAAUCGGAAUUACUGGGCGUAAAGCGCGCGUAGGUGGAUAUCUAAGUUGGAUGUGAAAGCCCUGGGCUUAACCUGGGAAUUGCACCCAAUACUGGAUUGUCUUGAGUAUAGUAGAGGGAAGUGGAAUUUCCGGUGUAGCGGUGAAAUGCGUAGAUAUCGGAAGGAACACCAGUGGCGAAGGCGGCUUCCUGGACUAAUACUGACACUGAGGCGCGAAAGCGUGGGGAGCAAACAGG
rnacentral:rRNA from 1 species